rnacentral:rRNA from 1 species
UGGGGAAUAUUGGACAAUGGGGGCAACCCUGAUCCAGCAAUGCCGCGUGUGUGAAGAAGGUUUUCGGAUUGUAAAGCACUUUCGACGGGGACGAUGAUGACGGUACCCGUAGAAGAAGCCCCGGCUAACUUCGUGCCAGCAGCCGCGGUAAUACGAAGGGGGCUAGCGUUGCUCGGAAUGACUGGGCGUAAAGGGCGUGUAGGCGGUUUGUACAGUCAGAUGUGAAAUCCCCGGGCUUAACCUGGGAGCUGCAUUUGAUACGUGCAGACUAGAGUGUGAGAGAGGGUUGUGGAAUUCCCAGUGUAGAG